rnacentral:rRNA from 1 species
GAUGAACGCUGGCGGCGUGCUUAACACAUGCAAGUCGAACGAAGCAUUUGCGACAGAUUUUUUCGGAAUGAAGUUGCUUAUGACUGAGUGGCGGACGGGUGAGUAACGCGUGGGUAACCUGCCUUGUACUGGGGGAUAGCAGCUGGAAACGGCUGGUAAUACCGCAUAAGCGCACAAUGUUGCAUGACAUGGUGUGAAAAACUCCGGUGGUAUAAGAUGGACCCGCGUCUGAUUAGCUAGUUGGUGAGAUAACAGCACACCAAGGCGACGAUCAGGAGCCGAGCGGGGAGGCGGACAGGACACAUUGGGAAUGAGACACGGCCCAGACUCGUACGGGAGGGAGCAGUGGGGAAUAUUGCACAAUGGAGGAAACUCUGACGCAGCGACGCCGCGUGAGUGAAGAAGUAAUUCGUUAUGUAAAGCUCCAUCAGCAGGGAAGAUAGUGACGGUACCUGACUAAGAAGCUCCGGCUAAAUACGUG